CCUACGGGAGGCAGCAGUAGGGAAUAUUGCUCAAUGGGCGAAACCCUGAAGCAGCAACGCAGCGUGGAGGAUGAAGGUUUUCGGAUUGUAAACUCCUUUUUUUAGAGAAGAUAAUGACGGUAUCUAACGAAUAAGCACCGGCUAACGCCGUGACAGCAGCCGCGGUAAUACGGAGGGUGCAAGCGUUACUCGGAAGCACUGGGCGGAAAGAGCGCGUAGGCGGGAUAGCAAGUCAGAUGUGAAAUACUAAGGCUUAACCAUAGAACUGAAUUUGAAACUGUUAUUCUAGAGUAUGGGAGAGGUAGGUGGAAUUCGUGGUGUAGGGGUAAAAUCCGUAGAGAUCAAGAGGAAUACCCAUUGCGAAGGCGACCUGCUAGAACAUAACUGACGCUGAUGCGCGAAAGCGUGGGGAGCAAACAGGAUUAGAUACCCGGGUAGUC
rnacentral:rRNA from 1 species